UUUUUUUUUUUCCCCAGGCUUUCAAUCACCUCUCAAACAGACGAAUAUUCCCCUUGGAGGCUGCUGUGCCCUGUGCGCUUGAGAGCCUGGCAGGUGACCCCGUUGGAGAGAGGAGGGCAGUUGUGAGCAGGCAGCCCCCAGGAAAACAUGGGAGUUUCAGUGGUUUCUGGAGUCUGAGGAACGGGGAGAAGCCCUGAGCUAAGCAGGAGUUAAGCACAGUCAUGCAGAGGCCUGGUUGCUACGAUUGAAGGUCGCUUAGUGAAUAUCGAUAGUUUCUAUAGGUAUUUUUAUAUCUAUAGAAAGGUAAAAAGUAAAAGUAGAAUAUAGAGCAUUGUGCAGGAGAAAAAGAACUUUUUAUGUAAGAUGUGACCUGUGGGGCAUCAUGCCAGGCUAUCCCUUCCAGGUUUGGAAGGAUUCAGUGUUUUGUAUGGCAUGACGGAGAGUUUUGAAAAAUGAGAUUUGCUCUUCAGUGCAGGUCGGAUGGGUGAGGCCUGGCAGCUUGUGCAUUGCCACUGUGCUAACCUGUGUGCCUCUCCUUCCCUCCCUGCUCCACAGGCACAACCCGGGAGCAGCAGGGAGAGGUGGGUUCGUCGUGGAGGAUCCAGGAGCUCGGUGUGCGUGUCUGAGCCUGCAGUUCCAAGGUGCAGCAGGACCCAAGGUCUGCACACACCCAUGUACAGCGAGCUCAAAGAC
rnacentral:lncRNA from 1 species